rnacentral:tRNA from 1 species
UGGCUCAGUUGGUAGAGCAUGGCGCUUGCACCGCCAAGGUUGUGGGUUUGAUUCCCGG